UACGUAGGGGGCAAGCGUUGUCCGGAAUUAUUGGGCGUAAAGAGCGUGUAGGCGGUCCGGUAAGUCAGCUGUGAAAGUCAAGGGCUCAACCCUUGAAAGCCGGUUGAUACUGUCGGGCUAGAGUCCGGAAGAGGCGAGUGGAAUUCCCGGUGUAGCGGUGAAAUGCGCAGAUAUCGGGAGGAACACCAAUGGCGAAGGCAGCUUGCUGGGACGGUACUGACGCUGAGACGCGAAAGCGUGGGGAGCAAACAGG
rnacentral:rRNA from 1 species